CUACGGGGGCAGCAGUGGGGAAUAUUGGACAAUGGGGGAAACCCUGAUCCAGCAAUGCCGCGUGUGUGAAGAAGGCCUGCGGGUUGUAAAGCACUUUCGGUUGGGAGGACUGCUUCUAGCACUAAUAUUGUUGGAAGUUGACGUUACCUUCAGAAGAAGCACCGGCUAACUCCGUGCCAGCAGCCGCGGUAAUACGGAGGGUGCAAGCGGUAAUCGGAAUUACUGGGCGGAAAGCGCGCGUAGGCGGCUAGAUCAGGCGGGUGUGAAAGCCCCGGGCUUAACCUGGGAACUGCAUCCGAUACUGUCUAGCUUGAGUACAGGAGAGGAGAGUGGAAUUCCACAUGUAGCGGUGAAAUGCGUAGAUAUGUGGAGGAACACCAAUGGCGAAGGCAGCUCUCUGGCCUGAUACUGACGCUGAGGUGCGAAAGCGUGGGGAGCAAACAGGAUUAGAUACCCCCGUAGUC
rnacentral:rRNA from 1 species